AGUGAACGCUGGCGGUAGGCCUAACACAUGCAAGUCGAACGGCAGCACAGUAAGAGCUUGCUCUUACGGGUGGCGAGUGGCGGACGGGUGAGGAAUACAUCGGAAUCUACUUUUUCGGGGGGGAUAACGUAGGGAAACUUACGCUAAUACCGCAUACGACCUACGGGUGAAAGCAGGGGAUCUUCGGACCUUGCGCGAUUGAAUGAGCCGAUGUCGGAUUAGCUAGUUGGCGGGGUAAAGGCCCACCAAGGCGACGAUCGGUAGCUGGUCUGAGAGGAUGAUCGGCCGCACUGGAACUGGGACACGGUCCAGGCUCCUAAGGGAGGCCGCAGUGGGGAAUAUUGGACAAUGGGCGCAAGCCUGGUCCAGCCAUACCGCGUGGGUGAAGAAGGCCUUCGGGUUGUAAAGCCCUUUUGUUGGGAAAGAAAAGCAGCAGGUUAAUACCCCGCUGUUCUGACGGUACCCAAAGAAUAAGCACCGGCUAACUUCGUG
rnacentral:rRNA from 1 species